UCUCUGCCAGGGCACUAAUUAGAGGGAGGUCUUAGUGUGGUAAUAAGGCAAAGACCUUCCCACACUUUUGGUCUCAUCUGCGUAGGCACUACCUUCCUGGUCAGGCCGCUUCCUUGGCCUGUUGGGUUCUGGGUGGUUCUGCAGUUUUGCAUACGUGGCAUCUGCCUUAAUUUCUAUUACACAAGCACAGUGGUGGGUAUAGUCUAAUGGACUGUGGUGCAGAAAAAAAGAAGGUAGGUUAGUCUGUGUGGAAGAGUGGAUCUCUUCCUGCUGACUGCCUUAUGGCCUCUGGAAAUGUUCUCACUGCCUCUGCUGAAAAGGCUUCACCUCUGUCCUUACUUCUUUGCAUCACUUCGGAUGAGCCAAACUUGCAUUUUGGAUCCUUGACCUGGCUACAAGCACGCCAGGCCUCCCUGUCCAUCACCAACUCCUGGAGUUCAUUCAAACUCAUAUCCAUCGAGUCAGUGAUGUCAUCCAGCCAUCUCAUCCUCUGUCAUCCCCUUCUCCUCCUGCCCCCAAUCCCUCUCAGCAUCAGAGUCUUUUCCAAUGAGUCAACUCUUCUCAUGAGGUGGCCAAAGUACUGGAGAUUCCACUUUAGCAUCAUUCCUUCCAAAGAACACCCAGGGCUGAUCUCCUUUAGAAUGGACUGGUUGCAUCUCCUUAUAGUCCAAGUAAGACCUUUUAGAACUAACACCCCAAAAAGAUGUCCUUUUCAUUAUAGGGGACUGGAAUGCAAAAGUAGGAAGUCAGGAAACACCUGGAAUAACAGGCAAAUUUGGCCUUGGAAUACGGAAUGAAGCAGGGCAAAAGCUAACAGAGUUUUCCCCAGUGAACGCACUGGUCAUAGCAAACACCCUCUUCCAACAACACAAGAAAAGACUCUACACAUGAACAUCACCAGAUGGUCAACACCAAAAUCAGAUUGAUUAUAUUCUUUGCAGCCAAAGAUGGAGAAGCUCUAUACAGUCAGCAAAAACAAGACCGGGAGCUGACUGUGGCUCAGAUCAUAAACUCCUUAUUGCCAAAUUCAGACUUAAAUUGAAGGAAGUAGGGAAAACCAUUAGACCAUUAUAAACCAUUAUAAUUAUACAGUGGAAGUGAGAAAUAGAUUUAAGGGCCUAGAUCUGAUAGAUAGAGUGCCUCAUGAACUAUGGAGUGAGGUUUGUGACAUUCAUUGUACAGGAGACAGAGAUCAAUAUCAUCCCCAUGGAAAAGAAAUGCCAAAAAGCAAAAUGGCUGUCUGAGGAGGCCUUACAAAUAGCUGUGAAAAGAAGAGAAGCGAAAAGCAAAGGAGAAAAGGAAAGAUAUA
ensembl:lncRNA